rnacentral:rRNA from 1 species
GAUGAGCGCUGGCGGCGUGCCUAAUACAUGCAAGUCGAGCGAACAGAUAAGGAGCUUGCUCCUUUGACGUUAGCGGCGGACGGGUGAGUAACACGUGGGUAACCUACCUAUAAGACUGGAAUAACUCCGGGAAACCGGGGCUAAUGCCGGAUAACAUUUAGAACCGCAUGGUUCUAAAGUGAAAGAUGGUUUUGCUAUCACUUAUAGAUGGACCCGCGCCGUAUUAGCUAGUUGGUAAGGUAACGGCUUACCAAGGCAACGAUACGUAGCCGACCUGAGAGGGUGAUCGGCCACACUGGAACUGAGACACGGUCCAGACUCCUACGGGAGGCAGCAGUAGGGAAUCUUCCGCAAUGGGCGAAAGCCUGACGGAGCAACGCCGCGUGAGUGAUGAAGGUCUUCGGAUCGUAAAACUCUGUUAUUAGGGAAGAACAAAUGUGUAAGUAACUGUGCACGUCUUGACGGUACCUAAUCAGAAAGCCACGGCUAACUACGUG